UCGAAGUUGUCGUUGUCGCCAAAGACAAAAGAACGCUCACUCGCGCAGGCCACCAGACAAGAGGUGAACUUGAAGGCUGGGCAACGGUUGGCUUCAACGUAGAUUUUGACAAAGACAUCCCAUUCGGCUUACCAACAACACUGCCAGCAACUACAACGUUAAGGCAUCAGGGGGUGGAGUCGGGCGGUGAAGUACGCGCAACGGUCGAACGGCGAACCAAAGGAUCAGCCACCCAUUAACUCGUCGUUCGGCUCGCACCGCAAGACAGGCUUGCUUAUUUUACUGGCGCAACAAACGUCUGCCAGCAAAGCACCCUGAAAUCCAUUCUGCUCCCAGUCUUCGUACUUCGUCUUCGGCUUUUCGCUUGCUUCGAUCUUCGUUCGCGUCUUUACCGUGUCCCACUUCUGCCACUGAUUUCUAUAUCUGAUUCUGCUGCCGCUACUGGUGGUCCGCACUGGGCGAAUGUCGCCGAGCUUCGCCGAGAAGCCGCGGGUGUACAGCGCUAUGAGGACAAUUAGAUGAUGCCUUUCCUGAAAAUAAACGAAAAGAAGCGGAUCGCAUCUGGAAAUCGAACGAGUGCAAUAACGAGCAGAAUACCAUGGCUUCCGCGAUCGGGCAUUAACUAAGUAGCAAAACAAAUAAAAAAAAAAAAAAGG
rnacentral:lncRNA from 1 species